CAGUAAUUAGCAGAAUUCAAGGGUAUCUUGAAUUUUCCCUCUAAGUUUGAUUUUCUUGUGGUUUUAUUAAACAGAUACAGAUGGAGGCAGCAGCGUGGUAACACCUCAAAAUCAAGCAUCCAGCAGCUGGAUCCAAAAAACACAGAGAACAAGGUGGUCUCAAAAAUUUGGAGUGAAGCCAGAGGUGAAGUGAGACUUUCUGAAGCUGCAACAAUACCUCUACUCUACUUAAAGCAAUUUCUGAUGUCAUCACCAUGAGAAGGACAUACCACCCCAGAAUAAGGAGAGGCAAAUGGAUUAGACUUGAAAUGAACCCAGAGCCUAGAUUCAAGCACAGCCAAACCCAGCUUGGAUCACGUUCCCAGUCCUGUGCAGAAGAACCGUGAGACCUACAAUAUAUUUCAAUACCUUCUUUCAAGAAAUAAAUGCUCAACUUUGUAAGACA
rnacentral:lncRNA from 1 species